GGAGGGUAAACUCAAGUGGUAGAGUGAGUGCUUAGCAUGCACAAAGUCCUGGGUUCAAUUCCCAGUACCUCCA
rnacentral:tRNA from 1 species